GGAAGUUAAGAAACUGUUUUUUAACUUUUAACUAAAAAAACUAAAAACCGGUUCUUAAAUAAAGACUUUAAGAAUCAGUUCUUAACUUUUUUAGUUAAAAGUUAAGAAACAAUUUUUUAAUUUCC
rfam:Brassica napus, WGS project CCCW01000000 data, contig: 16072